rnacentral:lncRNA from 1 species
GUUUUGUUUUAUUUAUGUGUUUGAGAAGCAGAGAGAGAGAGAGGUCUUCCAUCCACUGGUUCACUCCCCAGAUGGCCACAACGGCCAAGGCUGCGCCGAUCCAAAGCCAGGAGCCAGGAGCUUCUUCCAGGUCUCCCACGCGGGUGCAGGGGCCCAAGGACUUGGGCCGUCUUCUACUGCUUUCCCAGGUGCAUUAGCAGGGAGCUGGAUGGGAAGUGGAGCAGUCGGGACUCAAACUGCCGUCCAUAGGGGAUGCCGGCUCUGGUCCGGGUGCUUUAACCUUUCCUCUCUGGUCCCAAAAGUCACAAGGAAUCAGCAUGGCCAUUUCUGUUCUCACAGUGAAACCACAGAGGGGCCGAGCGGGGCGCACCACAGCCUCGCAGCCGGCGUGUGGCUGAGCCUCAGCUCAGAGCUGUCUCUGGGGAGAGGAGGCAGGGGCCCCCUGGGUCCAGGCGGGGCAGGGGCCCCCCGGGUCUAGGUGGGGCAGGGGCCUCCAGGUCCAGGUGGGACAGGGGUCUUCAGGUCUAGGUGGGACAGGGGCCUUCAGGUCCAGGUGGGGCAGGGGCCCCCUGGGUCCAGGCGGGGCAGGGGCCUCCAGGUCCAGGUGGGACAGGGGUCUUCAGGUCUAGGUGGGGCAGGGGCCUUCAGGUCCAGGUGGGACAGGGGCCUCCCGGGUCCAGGUGGGGCAGGGGCCUCCCAGGUACAGGAGGGACAGGGGCCUUCAGGUCCAGGAGGGACAGUGGCCUUCAGGUCCAGGUGGGACAGGGGCCUCCCGGGUCCAGGAGGGACAGUGGCCUUCAGGUCCAGGUGGGACAGGGGCCUUCAGGUCCAGGAGGGACAGGGGCCUCCUGGGUCCAGGUGGGGCAGGGGCCUCCUGGGUCCAGGUGGGACAGGGACCUCCAGGUCCAGGUGGGGAGGGGCCUCCCAGGUACAGGAGGGACACGGGCCUCCCGGGUCACAGGUGGGACAGGGGCCUCCCGGGUCCAGGUGGGACAGGGGCCUCCCGGGUCCAGGAGGGACAGGGGCCUCCAGGUCCAGGUGGGGCAGGGGCCUUCAGGUCCAGGAGGGACACGGGCCUUCAGGUCCAGGUGGGACAGUGGCCUCCAGGUCCAGGUGGGGCAGGGGCCUCCCGGGUCCAGGUGGGACAGGGGCCUCCCAGGUACAGGAGGGACAGGGGCCUCCAGGUCCAGGUGGGACAGGGGCCUUCAGGUCUAGGUGGGGCAGGGGCCUUCAGGUCUAGGUGGGGAGGGGCCUUCAGGUCCAGGUGGGACAGUGGCCUCCAGGUCCAGGUGGGGCAGGGGCCUCCCGGGUCCAGGUGGGGCAGGGGCCUCCCAGGUACAGGAGGGACAGGGGCCUCCAGGUCCAGGUGGGGCAGGGGCCUCCCAGGUACAGGAGGGACAGGGGCC